GGACUACCAGGGUAUCUAAUCCUGUUUGAUCCCCACGCUGUCGCGCAUGAGUGUCAGUAACGGGCCAGUGAGCCGCCUUCGCCACCGGUGUUCUUCCCAAUAUCUACGAAUUUCACCUCUACACUGGGAAUUCCACUCACCUCUCCCGUACUCGAGCUCAACAGUUUCAAUGGCAAUUCCGGAGUUGAGCUCCGGGCUUUCACCACUGACUUGGAGAGCCACCUGCGCGCGCUUUACGCCCAGUAAUUCCGAACAACGCUAGCCCCCUUCGUAUUACCGCGGCUGCUGGCAC
rnacentral:rRNA from 1 species